UUUCUUCUCUCCAGCCCAACGGUUAUUUCCGUUUUUCCCCAAAUCGCUUUGGGCGGAAAACCUAGGGCAACACCAGCAGCCCCAUCGUUCCAGAGCUCGCCAGUCUUCCGAAUUCUCUUCACCAACGUCGUCGUCUCCUUCCUCAACAGUUUUUAAGAUGGUAUCAUUGGUUGCCAUCCCUGAUGAACGUCCCCUGGUCAACAAACCCAAUGCUCUUCCAAAUGCUUCCGCGAUUUCUCCUCCAAAUGCUCCGGACAUUUCUGUUGCAAGGCUAAGCAACCCAAUUCAGACACCGACAACAUCAAAUCGUUCAUCAUCUGGAUCGACUGGAAAGUCUAAAGCUAAUGAGUAUGAAGGGUUCUAUGAUAAUUCUUUUUUUAAAAGACAUAGGAUUGAAAGGUAUGUAUCCCCUCUACAGGACCCAGAGUCCCCUUUUUUUCUGACCUCCGGUGAUCAUCUGGGGGCUUUACUAGUACCUAAUAGAUUGGUUGGAGAAACCAAUUACAUUACUUGGUCUAAUGGAAUGAAAGUGUCCUUAGUCUCAAGAAGAAAAGACUCUUUUAUUAGUGGCCAAGUAAAAAUGCCUGAUGACAUUAUUAGUAGAGAAUACAAUAUCUGGAAAAUUGUGAAUGGCUUAGUUCUAGCUUGGAUAUUAAAUUCAGUCUCUCCCAAAAUUCAGUCCACUUUGAUGUAUUCGAAUAAUGCACACCAAAUAUGGAUGGAUUUGGAAAAUAGGUAUAAACAAAGCAAUGCCCCUAAGGUUAGCCAAAUUAAGUAUGAUUUAUGUUGUUUACAACAGGGAACAUUGACUGCCUCUGAGUUUUAUGACAAGUUUAGAUUAAUUUGGGAUCAACUUGUCCAAAUUGAUGAGAUAAAAGAGGAAUUUUGCAAAAUAUGCAAGAAAUUAUAUCUACAAAAGGAGGAAAGUGAUAUGAUUCAUCAAUUUCUCCUAGGAUUGAAUGAGAACUUUUAUAAUCUUAGAACUCAAAUUUUAUCUUUGGAAAAACUACCCAACAUGAAUAAAGUUCUUGGGUUAGUUAUUCAAGAAGAAAAGCAGAGAUUCAAGUUUAGAGAAAAUAACAAUGAAAAAAUAGAAUCCGCAUUUUUUGCUAAAGAUAAGAAUACUUCUAAAGAUCAUGAUAAAUUAAGAAUUAUGUAUUCUAAGAGUGGAAAGAAGCUAGACACUAAGUACUACUGCGACAACUGCAAGUAUUAUGGUCACACUAGGGAUAAAUGCUAUCACUUAGUUGGGAGACCCAAAGAUAAAAAAAAAUUUCAGGGAAAGAAAGUUAAUAAUGAAAAUUCAGAUGCUGCAAAUCAGGUCACAUACACUAGUAACCAGCAACAACUAGUUCUUAGCCAAGAAGAGAUCCAACUAUUCAAAAAAUUAAUCUCUUCAACAAAGGCCAACAGCAACUCUGGUAAUUUUUUAUCAUUUUCAUUCAAUACUAAUUCACAUAUUGAAAAUUGGAUAGUGGAUACCGGGGCAUCACAACACAUGACAGGUAGCUUACAUUUAUUCACCAAACCCUUAACUCAAGAAUAUAAUCACUUUGUCACCAUACCUAGUGGCAAAACUCUUAUAGUUAAAGAGGUCGGGUGCAUUAAAAUUUCAGAAAACCUAGUCCUUAAAAAUGUCUUAUUUAUUCCUGAAUUUAAAGUUAAUCUCAUAGCUAUAAUAAGCAAAUUAACUUUAGACAAUGACAUUAAAGUAACCUUUGAUGAUCAUUGUUUUGAAUUUCAGGAAAACAAAUCCGGGAAAGUGAUUGGCAAGGGUGAAUCAAGAAAUGGACUAUACUUCUUCACCCCCCAUAUUUUCCUAGCAAAUUCAGCCAUCGAUUUCCGGACAUGGCAUCAUAGAUUGGGGCACAUCUCCUCACAAAAGAUGAUAAUUUUAGCCUCAAAAUACAAAAUUAAAUACAAAAAUUCCAAUUAUGAUUGUAAUAGCAAUAAUUGUAAAAAUAGUGCUUGUAAUAGUGA
rnacentral:lncRNA from 1 species